rnacentral:rRNA from 1 species
GCUUACGGCCAUACCACCCUGAACGGGCCCGAUCUCGUCUGAUCUCGGAAGCCAAGCAGGGUCGGGCCUGGUCAGUACUUGGACGGGAGACCGCCUGGGAAACCAGGUGUGUAAGCU